rnacentral:tRNA from 4 species
CGGGACGUGGCGCAGCCUGGUAGCGCACUUGCAUGGGGUGCAAGGGGUCGCGAGUUCGAAUCUCGCCGUCCCGACCA